UGACUGCGUACCUUUUGUAUAAUGGGUCAGCGACUUAUAUUCUGUAGCAAGGUUAACCGUAUAGGGGAGCCGUAGGGAAACCGAGUCUUAACCGGGCGUUAAGUUGCAGGGUAUAGACCCGAAACCCGGUGAUCUAGCCAUGGGCAGGUUGAAGGUUGGGUAACACUAACUGGAGGACCGAACCGACUAAUGUUGAAAAAUUAGCGGAUGACCUGUGGCUGGGGGUGAAAGGCCAAUCAAACCGGGAGAUAGCUGGUUCUCCCCGAAAGCUAUUUAGGUAGCGCCUCGUGAAUUCAUCUCCGGGGGUAGAGCACUGUUUCGGCUAGGGGGCCAUCCCGGCUUACCAACCCGAUGCAAACUGCGAAUACCGGAGAAUGUUAUCACGGGAGACACACGGCGGGUGCUAACGUCCGUCGUGAAGAGGGAAACAACCCAGACCGCCAGCUAAGGUCCCAAAGUCAUGGUUAAGUGGGAAACGAUGUGGGAAGGCCCAGACAGCCAGGAUGUUGGCUUAGAAGCAGCCAUCAUUUAAAGAAAGCGUAAUAGCUCACUGGUCGAGUCGGCCUGCGCGGAAGAUGUAACGGGGCUAAACCAUGCACCGAAGCUGCGGCAGCGAACGUAUCACCCAAGACAACUUUACGGAGUUGACGAUUGACGGAGCGAAGCGACGUCAAAGCGUUCAUUAAAGUCGAGUUGGCUUAGGGAUACGUUCGUUGGGUAGGGGAGCGUUCUGUAAGCCUGUGAAGGUGUGUCGUGAGGCAUGCUGGAGGUAUCAGAAGUGCGAAUGCUGACAUAAGUAACGAUAAAGCGGGUGAAAAGCCCGCUCGCCGGAAGACCAAGGGUUCCUGUCCAACGUUAAUCGGGGCAGGGUGAGUCGACCCCUAAGGCGAGGCCGAAAGGCGUAGUCGAUGGGAAACGGGUUAAUAUUCCCGUACUUGGUGUUACUGCGAAGGGGGGACGGAGAAGGCUAUGUUGGCCGGGCGACGGUUGUCCCGGUUUAAGCGUGUAGGUGUGUGUUCCAGGUAAAUCCGGUUCACUUUAACACUGAGGCGUGACGACGAGGCACUACGGUGCUGAAGCAACAAAUGCCCUGCUUCCAGGAAAAGCCUCUAAGCAUCAGGUAACACGAAAUCGUACCCCAAACCGACACAGGUGGUCAGGUAGAGAAUACCAAGGCGCUUGAGAGAACUCGGGUGAAGGAACUAGGCAAAAUGGUGCCGUAACUUCGGGAGAAGGCACGCUGACACGUAGGUGAAGUGAUUUACUCAUGGAGCUGAAGUCAGUCGAAGAUACCAGCUGGCUGCAACUGUUUAUUAAAAACACAGCACUGUGCAAACACGAAAGUGGACGUAUACGGUGUGACGCCUGCCCGGUGCCGGAAGGUUAAUUGAUGGGGUCAGCGUAAGCGAAGCUCCUGAUCGAAGCCCCGGUAAACGGCGGCCGUAACUAUAACGGUCCUAAGGUAGCGAAAUUCCUUGUCGGGUAAGUUCCGACCUGCACGAAUGGCGUAAUGAUGGCCAGGCUGUCUCCACCCGAGACUCAGUGAAAUUGAACUCGCUGUGAAGAUGCAGUGUACCCGCGGCAAGACGGAAAGACCCCGUGAACCUUUACUAUAGCUUGACACUGAACAUUGAGCCUUGAUGUGUAGGAUAGGUGGGAGGCUUUGAAGUGUGGACGCCAGUCUGCAUGGAGCCGACCUUGAAAUACCACCCUUUAAUGUUUGAUGUUCUAACGUGGACCCGUAAUCCGGGUUGCGGACAGUGUCUGGUGGGUAGUUUGACUGGGGCGGUCUCCUCCUAAAGAGUAACGGAGGAGCACGAAGGUUGGCUAAUCCUGGUCGGACAUCAGGAGGUUAGUGCAAUGGCAUAAGCCAGCUUGACUGCGAGCGUGACGGCGCGAGCAGGUGCGAAAGCAGGUCAUAGUGAUCCGGUGGUUCUGAAUGGAAGGGCCAUCGCUCAACGGAUAAAAGGUACUCCGGGGAUAACAGGCUGAUACCGCCCAAGAGUUCAUAUCGACGGCGGUGUUUGGCACCUCGAUGUCGGCUCAUCACAUCCUGGGGCUGAAGUAGGUCCCAAGGGUAUGGCUGUUCGCCAUUUAAAGUGGUACGCGAGCUGGGUUUAGAACGUCGUGAGACAGUUCGGUCCCUAUCUGCCGUGGGCGCUGGAGAACUGAGGGGGGCUGCUCCUAGUACGAGAGGACCGGAGUGGACGCAUCACUGGUGUUCGGGUUGUCAUGCCAAUGGCACUGCCCGGUAGCUAAAUGCGGAAGAGAUAAGUGCUGAAAGCAUCUAAGCACGAAACUUGCCCCGAGAUGAGUUCU
rnacentral:rRNA from 1 species